rnacentral:rRNA from 1 species
GCCUUCAUGAAGCUGGAAUUGCUAGUAAUGGCAGGUCAGCAUACUGCCGUGAAUACGUUCCCGGGCCCUUGUACACACCGCCCGUCACACCAUGAGAGUUGGAAAUACCCGAAGCCUGUGAGCUAACUUUUUGAGGCAGCAGUCGAAGGUAGAGCCAAUGAUUGGGGUGAAGUCGUAACAAGGUACC